rnacentral:lncRNA from 1 species
GGUGAGCUUGACUUGCUUAAUAGAGCUAGCUGUACAACCCUCGUGGUUCUCACGUCUCUGCUGAUCUUCGCUUCCCUGAGAGAGGCAGAGCCGAGAUCCUUAGGAUCCUAGGGAUCCUUCUGGUCCCUCCUGAUUACUUGUGCUGAGGCUGAGGCCUUGCUGUCUCUGCUAGGUAGUGCUACCACUGAUGAUUCGUGGUUGCUAUCCUGACUCUAUGGAACUGGACUGCUGGUGUAUCCAUGAAGUGUUUGGGAGUGAUUGAGCUGCCUGCCUCUGCUGACCUGUGAACUGAACUGCCGAUUUCCAGACGACACAGACGGCAGUUGCUCCGAAGAACCAGGUCACUACCCCAUCUCUUUUAUUUCCCACUACCUCUGGUGGGUGGUGGGCUAAAAGGGAGGUUAAAGCAUUUAAGAACCAUUAUUAAAAAUAGGUUUUGAAAAAAAUUAAAGUUACAUGUCCUUGGACUUCUGACAGUUAGUUAUUUGGACCUUAAAGGGAGCUGGUACCUAUUUCAGGUAGUUAGGGAGAACUCACCAAGAUAGUGUGCCUUAUGUGUGUCUUGUAGGGCUUGGUCUGAAAAACUGAGAGUGCUUUCCCAGUGAAAAAUGGAGAGACUUAGGUGUCAGGAAGGCAAGACACUUGGCCCCAGUCUCUGAUGUCUGAGACAGGAUGGGUCUCAGAGAUUAGCAUAACUCAGGCAUUGCCUACAGAUUUUGUUGCCCUUCUUGUCGAUGUGACCAAAUAUCUAACAAGAAACAACUUAAGGGAACAAGGGUUUGGCUUUCUGUUUGAGAGUAGAGUCAGUUCAUCAUGGUGGGACAGGCAAAUGGCUGGAGCACUCAAAGCUGCUCCACAGACCCGUAGGAAGAGACAGCACAGGAAGUGAGGGCAAGGUAUUAGCCCAAGGUCCCAUAGGUCUACUUUGUUCAUUAAAACAAAGGAAGUGAAUGCUUGAGGAAUCUCCUGUCUCUGUCUCUGUCUCUCUCUGUGUGUGUGUGUGUGCGCGUACAAGUGGCAUUGAGGUCUAUUUACAUAUAAAAAUGAGGAAAAACCCCAAGCACAUUUGGUCUUGCAUUUCAACUUAUGAGCUAUCUUUUAUCUUUUCUUUCUCCAGUGCCAAAAUUCUUUCUAAAAUCAACUUACCUCAUUGUAACAGAUGCUGAAUGGCCACUAAAAAGUUAUUACUUAUGUGUAUGAGUGUUUCGUCUUCACGUAUGUCUUUUUAUCACAUUCAUGUCUGAUGCCCAUGAAGGUCAAGGAAUUGAACCCAGGUCUUUUGGAGAUGUAGCCAGUGUUCCUAACUGCUGAAGGCUCUCACUAGCCCUGAUUAGCUUUUUUUUUUUUCCCUUUCAUAACGGCAAUGAUCAACUCUAGUACUGUACUGAGCUCAUGAUUCUGUUUUAUAAUGGCAACCUUGUUGUCAGUACUUCUUUUCAAAGUCAACCCUCUGGUGGGGACAGUACUAGGUCAUAUACUCAAGUAAAGUUAUAUGCCUUAGAAUUGGCUGAUUCUGACUAGGAAUUCUUCCUCAAGUCUUCACAAAUACUGUUGGGAAAUUCUGGGAAAUGCCUUCUGUCAGUGUAUUUUCAGUUUUCCAGAGAACAAUUUGACACCUUCCUCCGCUUCAUGUUUACUUCCUAUAAGAUUAAGAGUGAGGGGGAAAAAGUCACCAAUCCAAGAAUGAGGCUUUUCAUGGCAGUGAUAUUACCCAGCCCCUUUGUGGGGAUAAGUGGAUAGGUGGUCUGUUAGAGUUUCUGUUGUCAUACCUAAAGGGGUCACAGAGAGAUGACUAACCUGCUAGACUGGACUUUAGUAGCAAUUCAAAUCUGUUGUGAUUGUAGGAACUUAGAGCAACAGUAUAACAUUAGUUAGUCUUGUCUCUUAGGCUGAAGUUCAACGUGAAUUAGUCAUAUCUAUAGCCAGAUGAUUGACUGAUCUUUACUUGGCCCAUGGGGAUAAUGUCAACAGCUUCCUUGAGAGGGAAAAUGACUCAUAGGCCUUAUUUUUUAAAAUCGCUUAUUUCUUUCAUUUUAGUCCUUGAAAUAAAUCCUGUGAAAUAGCCAAAUUCC